GGGUGCAAGCGUUAUCCGGAAUCAUUGGGUUUAAAGGGUCCGCAGGCGGUCAAUUAAGUCAGAGGUGAAAUCCCAUAGCUUAACUAUGGAACUGCCUUUGAUACUGGUUGACUUGAGUUAUACGGAAGUAGAUAGAAUAAGUAGUGUAGCGGUGAAAUGCAUAGAUAUUACAUAGAAUACCAAUUGCGAAGGCAGAUUACUAAUAAUCAACUGACACUGAUGGACGAAAGCGUGGGUAGCGAACAGGAUUAGAUACCCUGGUAGUCCACGCCGUAAACGAUGGUUACUAGCUGUUUGGACCUUGUGUCUGAGUGGCUAAGCGAAAGUGAUAAGUAACCCACCUGGGGAGUACGUUCGCAAGAAUGAAACUCAAAGGAAUUGACGGGGGCCCGCACAAGCGGUGGAGCAUGUGGUUUAAUUCGAUGAUACGCGAGGAACCUUACCAGGGCUUAAAUGUAAGUUGCAUUAGUUAGAGAUAACUAUUUCUUCGGACCACUUACAAGGUGCUGCAUGGUU
rnacentral:rRNA from 1 species